GGUGUUGGCUGGAGAUCUUCCCCCUGACGUGGAGGAGUCCAGAAUGACCACGUUCUCUUCACUGGAAAUGUGAAUCUUUUGUUCUGCUACAAGUAUCACACCAUCUGCUUCCUGGACUCUCUAUUACCAGCGAUAUUCCGCAAGAUUGCACACUGGUGAGUGUCUGCUUUAGGUUAAAUCCACAAGGAAUAUCUUAUUUAUCC